AGAACGAACGCUGGCGGCAUGCCUAACACAUGCAAGUCGAACGAGACCUUCGGGUCUAGUGGCGCACGGGUGCGUAACGCGUGGGAAUCUGCCCUUGGGUUCGGAAUAACAGUUGGAAACGACUGCUAAUACCGGAUGAUGACGUAAGUCCAAAGAUUUAUCGCCCAGGGAUGAGCCCGCGUAGGAUUAGCUAGUUGGUGAGGUAAAGGCUCACCAAGGCGACGAUCCUUAGCUGGUCUGAGAGGAUGAUCAGCCACACUGGGACUGAGACACGGCCCAGACUCCUACGGGAGGCAGCAGUGGGAAUAUUGGACAAGUGGGACGAAAGCCUAGAUCCAGCAAUGCCGCGUGAGUGAGUGAAGGUCCUUAGGGUUGUAAAGCGUUACGUUUUACCCGGGAUGAAUAAUGACGAGUAACCGGAAGAAUAAGCUCCGGACUAACCUCCGUGACCAGCCAGCCGAC
rnacentral:rRNA from 1 species